AGUCGAGCGAGAAAAGGGGGGCAACUCCCUGAGUACAGCGGCGCACGGGUGAGUAACACGUGGGUAAUCUGCCCUGGAGUGGGGAAUAACACCGGGAAACCGGUGCUAAUACCGCAUACGAUAGCGAGGUCUGCGGACUUUGCUAUGAAAGGAGCAAUUCGCUCCAGGAGGAGCCCGCGGCUAAUUAGCUAGUUGGUGAGGUAAUGGCUCACCAAGGCUACGAUCAGUAUCCGGUCUGAGAGGACGGUCGGACACACUGGGACUGAGACACGGUCCAGACUCCUACGGGAGGCAGCAGUGGGGAAUUUUUGGCAAUGGGGGAAACCCUGACCAAGCAACGCCGCGUGGGUGAUGAAGUCUCUUGGGACGUAAAACCCUUUCGACGGGGACGAAGCCGCAAGGUUGACGGUACCCGUAGAAGAAGCCCCGGCUAACUCCGUGCCAGCAGCCGCGGUAAUACGGGGGGGGCAAGCGUUGUUCGGAAUUACUGGGCGUAAAGGGCGCGUAGGCGGUUUGUUAAGUUGGAUGUGAAAACUCUGGGCUCAACCCAGAGCCUGCAUCCAAAACUGGCAAGCUAGAGUUCUGGAGGGGGUAGCGGAAUUCCUGGUGUAGCGGUGAAAUGCGUAGAUAUCAGGAGGAACACCGGUGGCGAAGGCGGCUACCUGG
rnacentral:rRNA from 1 species